rnacentral:piRNA from 1 species
CACAGUGUGGUGGACCAU